rnacentral:rRNA from 1 species
ACUCAAAGGAAUUGACGGGGGCCCGCACAAGCGGUGGAGCAUGUGGUUUAAUUCGAUGCAACGCGAAGAACCUUACCUGGUCUUGACAUCCACGGGAGGCUGCAGAGAUGCGGCUGUGCCUUCGGGAGCCGUGAGACAGGUGCUGCAUGGCCGUCGUCAGCUCGUGUUGUGAAAUGUUGGGUUAAGUCCCGCAACGAGCGCAACCCCUGUCCCCUGUUGCCAGCAUGUAGAGAUGGGAACUCAGGGGAGACUGCCGGUGAUAAACCGGAGGAAGGUGGGGAUGAGGUCAGGUCAUCAUGGCCCAUACGACCAGGGCUACACACGUGCUACAAUGGGGCAUACAGAGGGAAGCGAGCCUGAGAGGGUGAGCGGAGCCUGGAAAGUGUUUCGAAGUCCGGACUGGAGUCUGCAACCCGACUCCACGAAGUCGGAAUCGCUAGUAAUCGCAGAUCAGAAUGCUGCGGUGAAUACGUUCCCGGGCCUUGUACACACCGCCCGU